UAUUUUCGUUUUUGCACAAGAGCUUGAAGAAAUGGAAGAUUGGGUUGAGUUGAAGUAGUAGUAGUGUGGGUUUAUUGUCUUGAAUGGAGUUGCAUCUUGAAAUGGGGUUUCUUUGGUGUGUGUUUUCGGUGGGAGGAAGAAGAAAAUGCUGAAUGGUGUGUGUUGGGGUGAGAAAACCGAAAUGGACAAGGAAAGGAAGAGAGAGGAG
rnacentral:lncRNA from 1 species